rnacentral:rRNA from 1 species
CCUACGGGGUGCAGCAGUGGGGAAUAUUGGACAAUGGGCGAAAGCCUGAUCCAGCCAUGCCGCGUGUGUGAAGAAGGCCUUCGGGUUGUAAAGCACUUUCAGUGGGGAAGAAAGCCUUGGGGCUAAUACCCUCGAGGAAGGACAUCACCCACAGAAGAAGCACCGGCUAACUCCGUGCCAGCAGCCGCGGUAAUACGGAGGGUGCGAGCGUUAAUCGGAAUUACUGGGCGUAAAGCGCGCGUAGGCGGUCUGAUAAGCCGGUUGUGAAAGCCCCGGGCUCAACCUGGGAACGGCAUCCGGAACUGUCAGGCUAGAGUGCAGGAGAGGAAGGUAGAAUUCCCGGUGUAGCGGUGAAAUGCGUAGAGAUCGGGAGGAAUACCAGUGGCGAAGGCGGCCUUCUGGACUGACACUGACGCUGAGGUGCGAAAGCGUGGGUAGCAAACAGGAUUAGAUACCCUUGUAGUC